rnacentral:snRNA from 1 species
AUUCCGAUACUACUAAAAACUGGAAUGAUACUGAGAAGAUUAGCACGGCCCCUGUAUAAAGAUGACACACAAAUUCACAAAGUGUUCGUAUUAUUU